rnacentral:rRNA from 1 species
UCCGUAGGUGAACCUGCGGAAGGAUCAUUAACGAGCGAUUGGAGCCUCUCGGGGCUUCUAAACUCUCCACCCUGUGACUAUAAUACCAUGUUGCUUCGGCGAGACGGUAGCCAUAAUAUGCGAAAGCUUAUUAUAUUCCAUCUUCUCGCCGUGGGACCAAAUCACCACUGCUUUUUAAAGAAUUAGUCUGAGACAUGUUCGUUGUCUCUGUAAACCCAGAGCACGACUGUAUUCAAAUUGAAAUACAUGAUAAAACUUUCAACAACGGAUCUCUUGGUUCCGGCAUCGAUGAAGAACGCAGCGAAAUGCGAUAAGUAUUGCGAAUUGCAGAAUUCAGUGAGUCAUCGAAUCUUUGAACGCACAUUGCGCUCGCCGGUAUUCCGGCGAGCAUACCUGUCCGAGCGUCAUAUCACCGCUCGACAUUAUCUUGGGUAAAACCAUGAUACUGUCGGUAUUGAAUCGUCCUGUUCUUUUACAAGUCAGGGAUUCUGAACUAUUCGUCGGCGGCGGGAAUUUGUAAGAGGCCUCUGAGCGGUUGGCAAGGAUUCAAUUUCCACCUCGGCUACAGGAUGGGUACACUUACACGGAGGGGAUACCCGGUGGGGAGGCUGGCGGGGAGGACGGAUAUACUAAGUCGGUAUAUCGCGCUUCUUCCUUUUUGAAAUAGAAAACGCAUUUGACCUCGGAUCAGGUAGGGACACCCGCUGAACUUAA